GCGCUAUUGCCUGGGAAACUAAGUCACGUGAGAACCUGGGGACGCUAGGUUCCGGAACCUGACCUGAGCUGGGGCCUGUGCUUCCAGCGGGUGGUGGGGGGCCUGGUGUGCUGGCAUCAAGUAAGCCGACUACCUCGGCAAAGGCUUAGGGACAAGAGACCAGCAGCCUGAACUGGCUGGGGCAUCCGGAAGGCUUAGAUCUUGUGGCCAAGAGUUCAGACCGUGGCGAAGUGGAGAGUGACAUGCAGUUGGAUGGCGGUGACUGCGUGGUCCUGCAACCCUGGUUCCAGUCUGGCAAGCAUUGUAGACCUGGCUGCUGAAGACUGACGGGGCCCAGGGUCCGCUGCCCCCACCGCCAUCACCACCUCGGAACCCAGGGUAACGCUGUCAGUCUUUGAUGAUGUCAGAAGUGGGAUCCAAAGUAGAGCUUAUAAUGACACCUAGGAGUGCUGAGUGACCAAGCAAGGUACCCACCAGGCCGAUUAUGUCCAUUGUUCUCUUGGAGCAGCUGGUCAUCAUGAACCUGAAGAUCAGAUCUUCUGAGAACAUCAGAAAAAGACUUCCCUUGCCAUCCACACUGCAGCAAAACUUCAGGACCUUAAAUGCUGGGUUCAUAAUUUCACAACUGAGAAGGGACCCUCCACACUCUUGGAACUGUACACCUAGACCAAACUAAAAUACAGUCACUCUUGCUAAAUGUAACAUAAUCAAACUAAGACUUUAAGGAAACAAGCAAAUCCUAGAAAAGACCAGGUUUUUGUAUUUUUUUUCCUCCUGUAAACAGUACCUUCCAACAUAAGGAGGUACCCUCUACUCUAACACUUACAAAAAUAAUAAGAAUAAUAACCUGGAGUCCUUGUAAGGUGAAACCUUACAAAACCCACUGCUCUGCUGUUUCCUAGUGGGUUUCAAGAGGAAAUAAGUACUUUUACAGUGGUGAUGGUGAAAUCAAUGACUAACAUUUUGGUCAAUCUCCCACAAUUUAGAGAAUGACCAAAACGGGGGAAUUGUUAAAUCAAGUUUAUCCUAAAUUGAUGGGAUCAAUCAUACUCCAAACCUUGACACUGCACAAUAUACCCAUGUAACAAACCUACACAUGUACCUCCUGAAUCUAAAAUAAAAGUUGAAAUUCUAAAAAAUGAAAUUAUUCUGGAGCUUUAAGAUUCAAUGCCUCUCUGCUGGGUUUUAUACUUGCUUAGAACCUCUUACUUCUUUCUUUCUUUGAUUCAUUUCUCCCUUUUGGAAUGGAAAUGUCUAAACUAUGUGCAUUCCACCAUUUUAUCUCAGAACUAAAUAACUUUUUUUAUAGGCUCAUAACUGGACUUUGGUCUUUUAAGUUGGUGCUGAAACAAGUUAAGACUUUAGAGACUGAUGGAAUUAUUGUAUUUUGUAUUCGAGAAGAACAUGACUUUUAGGGGGCCAGGAACAGAAUGCUAUGGUUUGGGUAUAGUUUGUUCUGUUGAAACUCGUGUUGGAAUUUGAUUUCCAAUGUUGCACUGUUGGGAGGAGGAUUCCAGUGGGAGGCAUUUGAG
rnacentral:lncRNA from 1 species